rnacentral:rRNA from 1 species
AACGAACGCUGGCGGCAUGCUUAACACAUGCAAGUCGAACGCUUCUGCGGGCUUCGGUCCGUAGCGGAGUGGCGCACGGGUGAGUAGCGCGUGGGAACCUGCCCUCUUGUGGGGGAUAACCGAUGGAAACGUCGGCUAAUACCGCAUAAGCCGGCCCUCUAGAGAUAGGUGGCCGGGAAAGAUUUAUCGCGAGAGGAGGGGCCCGCGUCGGAUUAGCUUGUUGGUGGGGUAACGGCCUACCAAGGCAAUGAUCCGUAGCUGGUCUGAGAGGAUGAUC